rnacentral:rRNA from 1 species
UACGUAGGGGGCUAGCGUUGUCCGGAAUCAUUGGGCGUAAAGCGCGUGUAGGCGGUCCGGUAAGUCCGCUGUGAAAGUCGAGGGCUCAACCCUCGAAUGCCGGUGGAUACUGUCGGGCUUGAGUACGGGAGAGGCGAGUGGAAUUCCUGGUGUAGCGGUGAAAUGCGCAGAUAUCAGGAGGAACACCAAUGGCGAAGGCAGCUCGCUGGGACGGUACUGACGCUGAGACGCGAAAGCGUGGGGAGCAAACAGG